GAUAAAGGCUACAGUGCAGUACUGCUGCAUCUUUACAGAUCCUUCAGAGAUCACCAGGAAACUGCAUCUACCUACAUUACUGCAGAAGGUGAGAGAGGCAAUACUCCUUGAACUCUCUGUCAUUAUUAAGUAGAAGAAGGGGCAGGAUCAUCCAUCCAUUUGAGAAACCUGCUGUGUUCGUUGGUCUUGCUUCACUGAGAAUGGGCAAAAGCAGAGUUACCCAACUCUGGAUGAAAGGCUCUGGGAAGAACUCUCAGGAAGCAAGUUCCAAUAACUGCUAAGUGCUUUAACUUCAAAAUGGAAAUUUUCCUAUGAAAACUUUCUCUGAAAGACUGAUCUGGGCUGCCAAGUGCAACAGGCUACUGCAAUAG
ensembl:lncRNA